GACGUAGGUGGCGAGCGUUGUCCGGAAUUACUGGGCGUAAAGGGCGUGUAGGCGGCCUUUCAAGUCAGGCGUGAAAUCCCUGGGCUUAACCUAGGGACUGCGUUUGAAACUGGAGGGCUUGAGGACAGGAGAGGAAAGCGGAAUUCCCAGUGUAGCGGUGAAAUGCGUAGAUAUUGGGAGGAACACCAGUGGCGAAGGCGGCUUUCUGGACUGUCCCUGACGCUGAGGCGCGAAAGCCAGGGGAGCAAACGGG
rnacentral:rRNA from 1 species